rnacentral:lncRNA from 10 species
UUCAUAGUUUCUAUGGGUCAGGAAUUUGGAUAUGGCUUGGGUAAGCAGUUCUGGCUUCUCAUGGAGUUGGAGGCAAGUGGUGGCUGGAACAGAAAUGGGGCAGCCAGGGGUGGUGGCCAGGCAUCAGCUACAUCUCCUCCAUGUAGUCUCAGGAACUCUCCAUGUAAUCUCUCUGUGUGGGUUGGGCUUCCUCACAACAUGGUGGCCUCAGGGCAGUCACUGCUUACAUGGCAGCUAGCUUCCCUCAGAGUGAGUAUCCCAAGAGAUCACAGUCAAAGUGCAUAGCAUUUAUAUAAUCUAAUCUUGGAAGUCACAAAAUGUCAUUCUUGUGAUACUCUCAUUGGUGAAGAAGUCAUAAAAUCCUGCUCAGGUUCAAAAAGAGGGUGUAUAGAACCCAACACUCAAUAGGAAGAUUGUCAGAGUUACAUUGUAAGAAGAGCAUGUAGUUGGGAGAUAUCAUUGUGGCCAUUUUGGGAAAGAUGCAACAUGUCACAAUGUCAUGUUCUCCAUCGUCUCCCCGUUCCACCUUGUACUGGUUUCCAAGGGUAGUCGUUUAAAAGUACCACAAAAACUGGGUGGCUUGGAACAACAGAAAUUUAUUGUUUCACAGUUCUGGAGGCCAGAAGUUCAAAAUGAAGUGUUGGCAGAAACAUGCUGCCUCUAAAGGGACUGGGAAAGGAUCUGUUCCAGGCUUCCCUCCUAUCUUCUGGUUGUUCCUUGCCUUCUGGCUGCGUAACUCUAGUCUUCAUUUGGUGUUCUCCCUGCAUGCAUGGCUUUGUGUCCAAAUUUCCUUUUUUCAUGAGGCCAUCAGUCAUACUGGAUUAGGGACCCACUCUACUACUGCAGGAUGACCUCACCUUCCCAAAUUACAUCUGCAACAACCCUAUUUCCAAAGAAGGCCACAUUCUGAGGUACUGGGGGUUAUAACUUCAACAUGAAUUUUUUGGAGGAAACAAUUCAACUCCUAACACAUCUCUACCCAACCUCUGUAGGUUCCCUCAAUCCACCAAAAUUUUUUGGCUCCACUGGAUUAUCUAGCAGUUAGGAAACCAAGAUCAUUAAAUGAAUUCACCGCAACUACAGUGAGACUGACUACCUUAGCUUACCUCUGUGAAAGGAGUUAAGCCAAAGGAAUCUGUGGAAUUUUGGAGAGUUUGGGAGCAUUUGGGGGCAGGAGGCAAAUGUUCUUCCUUUAAAUCACAACACUUAGUUCUCUUCCAUUUAUAAGACUCACCCCUCCAUCCCAACCCCUGCACCACAGGACAAGGAAGUGUUCUUGGUCUUCAACUUUCAUCCCUGAUGGUGAAAGCAGUUGCUCCUGACCUAUUUGCCCACCAGCUUCUCCUCUGGAGCCUGAGGCUUCUGAUGCCUGCCUGGCUGGUUCUCAGUAAGAAGGUCAAGUUCAACCAGAGGGGAGAUGCUGAUGCCUUUCAGUACUUAAAUAUGAGUUCAGACCCUGGGGCCUGGACAUAAGAUUUGGGGUCCCCUGGAUAUAAGAUUUCUGAAAACACUCAGACUGUGGAGACCCCUGCUGAGGGAGAAGCCCCAAACUGUGGCUUCAGGGGAAUGCACCAAGGCUCUCAUUGAGGCCACCUUCUCCAACAAGCUCCCCUCCUGCUUCCCCAUGGCUGGCAUGGCUGAGGAAAAAGGACACUGAGCACAGCCCGUGCAUGAGCGGCUUGCCAUGCAACAGGAUAAAACCCAUAAUGCCACUCAGCAAGCCUUGGUUGUAAAUCUAGUUUGAUUACAUUUGUAAUCAAAUGAUGGCCAUUUGUUCUGUUUCUGGUUUGUGAACCAACUGAAGACAUAAGCAGGGCCUCAGCUAACCCACAAAUAGCACAUGUGUGCAAACUGGAAAAAUGAACCCUUCUUCUGGGAGGACGCCAGCCCAGGCCAGGUCACCCGGCUUGGCCAGCAGAACACAGAGUAGAUUUUGGUCCCGUUUGUUCCCCAGUGGGGUAUCUAUCCUUGUGCAGGGCACAAGCCUACAUGGUGGCUCUGGUCAUAUCAUUAGAAAAUAGACAGAAAUGGGCUGCACACCAGAAUGAAUGAAUUGAAUUGAAAGGGAGGAGUGAUGGUGGAAAAAAAAACAAGUCAAUUCAUUUAGACUGGUAGAACCAGAACCACUGUGUAGUACAUCCAAACGGUUAAAAUUCCCUGGAAGAUGUUACAUAAUCCUAUCAUGGUGUUUAUUUAUGGAAAUCUAUUUUAAAAAUUUUAUGUAAUACUGCACAGUCUGUUUGCAUGAUGCCUUGUACGUAGUAGCAACUCAGUAAAUACUUUUUGAAUGAACUAGUAUAGUAUUUUAAUUAGCUAGUCUUCAUGUACUGGUACAAAAGAACAGUGUCAUCUUACAGCUGAAGUCAUAGAGGGGAAAUAUCCCACUCAAGAUCAUAUAACAUUCCAGGUACUCAGGAUGAAUGGUUUGAGGACUGGUCUGAAUUCUUCAAAGGUUUCAGCUGUAUUAACAUUCUCCAUCUAAUAAACUUUAUCUUGUCAUUGC